rnacentral:ncRNA from 1 species
UUAAAGACUGAUGAGGACUAGUAGGUGGACGCCGUCGUUCAGAAAGCGGAUGGUUGUUGCGAAUUCGUCGAUGGUACACUGAACUCGUCUCUGAGUUUUUCAACUGAACUGAAGUAAGUUGAGACGUGAUUUUCGCGUUACGAAAUAUUGAGUGCCCAUAUUAAUGGGAAUGUUAGGUGGUACCGCGGAAAUUCCGUCCUACAA